rnacentral:rRNA from 1 species
AACGCGAAGAACCUUACCAAGGUUUGACAUGGCCGGAAAAGCCGCAGAGAUGUGGUGUCCUUCGGGGUCGGUCACAGGUGGUGCAUGGCUGUCGUCAGCUCGUGUCGUGAGAUGUUGGGUUAAGUCCCGCAACGAGCGCAACCCUUACCCUUAGUUGCCACCCGCAAGGGGGAACUCUAAGGGGACUGCUCCGGAUAACGGAGAGGAAGGUGGGGAUGAGGUCAAGUCAGCAUGGCCUUUAUGUCCAGGGCUACACACGUGUUACAAUGCAUGGUACAGACCGUUGCAAACCCGCGAGGGGGAGCUAACCGGAAAAAACCAUGCUCAGUUCGGAUUGCAGUCUGCAACUCGACUGCAUGAAGCUGGAAUCGCUAGUAAUGGCGUAUCAGAACGACGCCGUGAAUACGUUCCCGGGCCUUGUACACACCGCGCAUA